CCCGAGCCUGCUGCAGGCCAGUCGCUCCAGCUCCAUUAGCCUAACUGCGGGCUCUGUGACCGUCCUCGGGCCUGUCCUCGCAGGAGCAGCUCGGGACCCCACAGCAACCCGCUUGCCGACAUGGGGAAGUCUUUUUCUCAUUUGCCUUUGCAUUCAAAUAAAGAAGAUGCUUAUGGUGGAGUUGCAUCAACUGAAAACCUGAGGAAUGGAUUGGUGAAAAAUGAAGUCCCUAAUGAAGAUGGAAGAAGUGGAGAUGUCUCUCAGUUUCCAUACGUGGAGUUUACAGGAAGAGAUAGUGUCACUUGUCCCACUUGUCAAGGAACAGGAAGAAUUCCUAGGGGGCAGGAAAACCAGUUGGUGGCAUUGAUUCCAUAUAGUGAUCAGAGAUUAAGGCCAAGAAGAACAAAACUGUAUGUGAUGGUUUCUGUGUCUGUUUGUCUGCUGAUUUCUGGAUUGGCUGUGUUUUUCCUUUUCCCUCGCUCAAUCGACGUGAAAUGCAUUGGCGUAAAAUCAGCUUAUGUCAGUUAUGAUGUUGAAAAGCGUACAAUAUAUUUAAAUAUCACAAACACACUAAAUAUAACGAACAAUAACUAUUAUUCUGUUGAAGUUGAAAAUAUCACAGCACAAGUCCAGUUUUCAAAAACAGUUAUUGGAAAGUCACGCUUAAACAAUAUAACAAAUAUUGGUCCGCUGGAUAUGAAACAGAUUGACUACACAGUUCCUACUAUCAUAGCAGAGGAACUGAGUUAUAUGUAUGAUUUCUGCACGCUGAUAUCCAUCAAAGUGCAUAACAUAGUACUCAUGAUGCAAGUCACUGUGACAACAACAUACUUUGGACAUCCUGAACAAAUAUCCCAGGAGAGGUACCAGUAUGUUGAUUGUGGAAGGAAUACAACUUAUCAGCUGGGGCAGUCUGAAUAUCUGAAUGUACUUCAGCCACAACAGUGAACAUCUGAAAGAGACACAGCUGGAGAAGAAAUACCUAAUGAUACUUUUUAAACUCUGAAGGAUGAGGCCAAUGAGGUCAUUAUUUUCUCUAAAAAUUCAUAACAAGAAAAUAAAGUUCACUUCAGAUCUUCUGAAUUGUAGUUUGGAGAUGACACAGUGCAGUGUUAACAUAUAUAGGAAGUAACUGCCAAAACAACAAAAAUGAAAGUAACCGAGGAGACUUCAAAGGUUAGUCUAACGAAUCCUUUGUCAUUCUUAGCCGUAUCAUUAUUGCAAUAUAAUUCUGGAUGUUUCUUUGGAGGGCAUGUCCCCAACUUUCUCCCAUGCUAUUUUUUUACUUUUUAAAAUAAUUCUUUAUAUAAUGAUUACAUCUUACUUAAGAAAAUAAUUUGUGAAGUUCUUAACCUCAAAAUUAAGUCACUGCUUGGCAUAGCUAACAUUUAUCAGUUACUGUGUCUGUCACACACUGUAUUAAUCUUUGGCGGGCGUUAUAUUACUCUUCAGAAGAGCCCUCUAAGGUGGAUACCGUUGUUGCCACCCAUUUUAUAUCUGAGAAAAUUGAGUUUUAGGGAAGUUAAGAAAUAUGGUUAAGAUUGUAAGUGGCAAAUUCAAGAUUCACAAGUCUGUGUGACUCAAGCAUUAUUGCUCUUACAAUUAGCAUAUUUUCUUUCCAGUCUUUGAAAGUGUUUUAUUUAUAUUGUUUGUUGCACUUAAUAUAUAAAACUUUGAGGUAUUUGGUAGUACAGUUGAUUCUUGAACACAGUCAAUAAUCAGCAUAUAAAUACAAUCAUCUGCCUACAGGGAUUUCCAGCCACAGAGUUGACCCUUGAACAAUGUGGGUUUAAACUGUGCUGUUCAAUUCAGGUAUAAAUUGGCCUCUGCAGUUCAAACUGGUGUUGUUCAAGGAUCAACUAUUUUAAAAAAUAGUUGUAUUAGGAUACUUUGUUAUAUUGUAGAUCUUUGGUCUAAUAUAAAUAUUUAUCCUUAGUUUUCAAAAUAUUCAUACUUAUCUGUUAGGGUUUUAUUAUUUUUUAAAGAUGAAAACUUUUAAAUUUACAAAUACAUGAUAAGCAGUAUAAAUUGAUUUUCAAGUUACUGAAGUUGCAAGCCAAAAGUUGUUCCCAUAAUGCCAUGAUAUUUAGCUCAUAACAUCUUGGAAGCAGCACAUACUUGGCUCAGAUACAUCUAAGAAUAAUGAAUUAGAUUUA